rnacentral:rRNA from 1 species
GACGAACGCUGGCGGCGUGCUUAACACAUGCAAGUCGAGCGGUAAGGCCCUUUUGGGGGUACACGAGCGGCGAACGGGUGAGUAACACGUGGGUGACCUGCCCUCAGCUCUGGGAUAAGCCUGGGAAACUGGGUCUAAUACUGGAUAUGACCUUUCCUCGCAUGGGGUUGGGUGGAAAGUUUUUCGGCUGGGGAUGGGCCCGCGGCCUAUCAGCUUGUUGGUGGGGUGAUGGCCUACCAAGGCGACGACGGGCAGCCGGCCUGAGAGGGCGACCGGCCACACUGGGACUGAGACACGGCCCAGACUCCUACGGGAGGCAGCAGUGGGGAAUAUUGCGCAAUGGGCGGAAGCCCUGACGCAGCGACGCCGCGUGGGGAUGACGGCCUCGGUUGUAA